UGGGGAAUUUUCCGCAAUGGGCGAAAGCCUGACGGAGCAAUGCCGCGUGAAUGAAGAAGGUCUUCGGAUCGUAAAGUUCUGUCAUUAGGGAAGAACAGCAAGUAUGUAAAUAAUGUACUUGCCUGACGGUACCUAAGGAGGAAGCCACGGCUAACUACGUGCCAGCAGCCGCGGUAAUA
rnacentral:rRNA from 1 species